GUUAGGUGAUUUGCUCAAGAUCAUUCAGCUAGGAACCACUCUGGGAGGGGAGGAAAUUGGAGCUUGAGGAGCUGGAACAAUUUGCCCAAGGUGACAUGGAUAUUAAGGGUCAGAAAUGGGAUUUUUUCUGCCCUCCGGACCUCAGUCUCCCAAAGAGAAACCAAGUGGACCUGAACCAACGCACUAAUCCUGUUUUUUGCUACCUCGAAGACGUCAUUCUGAAUUUUAUGAUUAGAAAACACUUUGCUGAUUUAUUAACAAACAGAAUUGUCCCUAACACUGCUUCCCUGAACACCUAGGCUGUAAUGUGAUGUUAUAAGAGACUGAUUCUCAUCCAUCGGAUUAAGAGUAAUAAACGGGCUGAAUUCAUCA
rnacentral:lncRNA from 1 species